GGAUGUGAGGGUGAUCUGGCUGUGACAUCUGUCACCCCAUUGAUCAAUAGUGUUGAUUUUGGCUGAUCUGGCUGGCUAAGCAGGUGUCCCCUUCCUCUUUAUCAUUCCAUGUCUGAAGAGGACAACUUUCCAUAGUAGAAGAGGAAGAGGACUGGUCUUCAGUUAAGGGUAUAUGAGUAGCUAUGCUCCACCACUGCUUUUUCCUGCAGACAAGCUCUAUUCCCAGAGCUCAGUGGGACUGAGUUGAAACUG
rnacentral:snRNA from 1 species